AUUGAACGCUGGCGGCAGGCCUAACACAUGCAAGUCGGGCGGUAGCACAAAGGAGCUUUCUCCUUGGGUGACGAGCGGCGGACGGGUGAGUAAUGUCUGGGAAACUGCCUGAUGGAGAGGGAUAACUACUGGAAACUCAGGCUAAUACCGCGUAAUCUCUUCGGAGGGAAGCUGGGGACCGCAAGGCCUGGCGCUUUAAGAUUAGCCUGCGUCCGAUUAGCUAGUUGGUGGGGUAAAGGCCUACCAAGGCGACGAUCGGUGGCUGGUCUGAGUGGAUGAUCAGCCACACUGGGACUGAGACACGGCCCAGACUCCUACGGGAGGCAGCAGUGGGGAAUAUUGGACAAUGGGGGGAACCCUGAUCCAGCAAUGCCGCGUGUGUGAAGAAGGCCUGAGGGUUGUAAAGCACUUUCGGCGGGGAGGAGGAUGAGUUGGUUAAGAGCUGACUUAUUGGACGUUACCCGCAUAAGAAGCACCGGCUAACUCCGUGCCAGCCGCCGCGGUAAUAC
rnacentral:rRNA from 1 species